CGGGUGGACGUUUGGUAAGUUAAAAAGUGUAUAUUGAUUGAAUAUUCAGAGAUUCUUAUAUUACAAUGGUAAAAAAAAAUUUUAACUAACUAAAUUAUAAAAUCUCAAAUGAUUCCGAUGGAAAAAAUAUGUUAUAGCUGCCUGUGGAUAGAAACUGUAUGAUGUUGUAGCUAUUUAUAAACUGUAUAACUGUAUGAGAACCGGAAGUCUCAACCAUGUUGAGGAUCAGCUUUGCAUUUAUAAGCUGGAUGUCUAUUUUUUUAUGAGGGAUUUGCUAUUUUAUGUACAUAUGCGAGGUGAGUAAAAUAUUUCAAAGUAGCCGAACAAUGUUUAUAUUGUUUGAAUACACAAAUUGAAUGGCUAAUGGUUGGAGCAUAAAAUAUAAAAUUUUGUAGAGUGGGUUUUAUAUGAAAUAUAUAAUUUCUUUUAUUUGCUUGUAAUAGUAAGAUUGGUCGCAUCUUUUUAUGUUGUUGGAGAUAUAUGUUACUGUGGCAUUUGUUGUUGUGAGUGUUGUUAAGUAACAUUGGAGUUUUUUACAUGUGUUUAGUGCAUUGACUUUAUUGAUGUCUUUCCUACAUUAAUAUCAUGUAGUUUUUUCUUUGUGUUCUUCCUAAUGUGUCCAAGUAUAUUUUUUCCGAGUGCCAUUUCACUCAUGCAUAACUUGCUAAUGCAAAAAAAAAAACUUGUUAAUGCAUUAUAGGUGAACUACAUUGAUAUAAACCUUAUGCGGCUGCUUGGAGAUAAUAGACUCCUAAGCAGUGUUGUUUUAAUAGAAAAAUUCUUAUUUGU
rnacentral:lncRNA from 1 species